UACAGAGGUCUCAAGCGUUGUUCGGAUUCAUUGGGCGUAAAGGGUGCGUAGGUGGCGCCGUAAGUCGGGGUGUGAAAUUUCGGAGCUUAACUCCGAAACUGCAUUCGAUACUGCGGUGCUUGAGGACUGGGAGAGGAGACUGGAAUUCAUGGUGUAGCAGUGAAAUGCGUAGAGAUCAUGAGGAAGACCAGUGGCGAAGGCGGGUCUCUGGACAGUUCCUGACACUGAGGCACGAAGGCCAGGGGGAGCAAACGGGG
rnacentral:rRNA from 1 species